rnacentral:rRNA from 1 species
AACGAGAAACUGGCUUCGGUCAGUGGAAAGUGGCGGACGGGUGAGUAAUAUGUAGAGAAUCUGGCCCUAGAGAGAGGGACAACAGUUGGAAACGACUGCUAAUACCUCAUAUGCGCGUAGCUGAAAUGCUAUUCGUGAAAACUCCGGUGCUCUGGGAUGAGUCUGCAUCUGAUUAGCUUAGUUGGCGGUGUAAUGGACCACCAAGGCGACGAUCAGUAGCUGGUUUGAGAGGAUGAUCAGCCACAAUGGGACUGAGACACGGCCCAUACUCCUACGGGAGGCAGCAGUAGGGAAUUUUGCGCAAUGGGGAAACCCUGACGCAGCAACGCCGCGUGAACGAUUAAGCCCUUCGGGGUGUAAAGUUCUGUCAGUGGGGACGAAACUUGACGGUACCCACAGAGGAAGCAUCGGCUAACUCCGUGCCAGCAGCGGC